CAGUGCUAUAUUCACCAAGUGCACGUUGUGACCUGAGUUAACCUCAAGUGACAUCAAUGCUAUUCAAUAAUUAGAUUAAAGUUGAACAACUCUUUUUUAUUCUUUAUUCUCAAUUUAAGAUAAAAGUUAUUACCCCCAAAGAAAAAGUUGAAUUAAAGUUUAACACAUUAACUAUAAUUUAGCUGCACCUGUUCAGUUUUAAGAAAAAAACAUAAUAUUAAGAUUGGGCAUUUAAUGACAUCAAUCAUAUUCAACAAAUAUUUCUCCCAUUAUCUCUUAAACAAAUUUUGGGUGGGAAAACUAGUUGAGAAUCAGUGAACAAACCAAUGGCCAUGACAGCUUUACAAUACCACAUCAUAAACACAUUUUAAAAGAAACAUUAGAGUUAGAAG
rnacentral:lncRNA from 1 species